GACGAACGCUGGCGGCGUGCCUAAUACAUGCAAGUAGAACGCUGAAGUGAGGAGCUUGCUCUUCUUGGAUGAGUUGCGAACGGGUGAGUAACGCGUAGGUAACCUGCCUUGUAGCGGGGGAUAACUAUUGGAAACGAUAGCUAAUACCGCAUAACAAUGGAUGACACAUGUCAUUUAUUUGAAAGGUGCAAUUGCUCCACUACAAGAUGGACCUGCGUUGUAUUAGCUAGUAGGUGAGGUAAUGGCUCACCUAGGCGACGAUACAUAGCCGACCUGAGAGGGUGAUCGGCCACACUGGGACUGAGACACGGCCCAGACUCCUACGGGAGGCAGCAGUAGGGAAUCUUCGGAAAUGGGGGCAACCAUGACCGAGCAACGCCGCGUGAGUGAAGAAGGUUUUCGGAUCGUAAAGCUCUGUUGUAAGUCAAGAACGGGUGUGAGAGUGGAAAGUUCACACUGUGACGGUAGCUUAACAGAAAGGGACGGCUAACUACGUG
rnacentral:rRNA from 1 species